rnacentral:rRNA from 1 species
CGCUCAACGGAUAAAAGCUACCCUGGGGAUAACAGGCUUAUCUCCCCCAAGAGUCCACAUCGACGGGGAGGUUUGGCACCUCGAUGUCGGCUCAUCACAUCCUGGGGCUGUAGUAGGUCCCAAGGGUUGGGCUGUUCGCCCAUUAAAGUGGUACGCGAGCUGGGUUCAGAACGUCGUGAGACAGUUCGGUCCCUAUCCGUCGCAGGCGUAGGAAAUUUGAGAAGACCUGUCCUUAGUACGAGAGGACCGGGAUGGACGUACCUCUGGUGUACCAGUUGUCCUGCCAAGGGCAUGGCUGGGUAGCUAUGUACGGAAUGGAUAAGCGCUGAAAGCAUCUAAGCGCGAAGCCAACUUCAAGAUAAGAUUUCCCACCGCAAGGGUAAGACCCCAGAAAGACUAUCUGGUUGAUAGGUCGAAGGUGUAAGUGCAGCAAUGUAUUUAGCUUAUCGAUACUAAUAGGUCGAGGACUUGACCAAU